rnacentral:tRNA from 1 species
GUGGCUCAGUGGUAGAGCACUUGCCUAAUAUGCGUGAGGUCCUGAGUUCAAUUCUCAGC